AUUGAACGCUGGCGGCAGGCCUAACACAUGCAAGUCGAGCGGAUGAAUGGAGCUUGCUCCUGGAUUCAGCGGCGGACGGGUGAGUCAUGCCUAGGAAUCUGCCUGGUCGUGGGGGAUAACGUCCGGAAACGGGCGCUAAUACCGCAUCCGUCCUGAGGGCGAAAGUGGGGGGUCUUCGGACCUCACGCUAUCAGAUGAGCCUAGGUCGGAUUCGCUAGUUGGUGGGGUAAAGGCCUACCAAGGCGACGAUCCGUAACUGGUCUGAGAGCAUGAUCAGUCACAUUGGAACUGAGACACGGUCCAGACUCCUACGGGAGGCAGCAGUGGGGAAUAUUGGACGAGGGGCGAAAGCCGGAUCCAGCCAUGCCGCGUGUGUGAAGAAGGUCUUCGGAUUGGAAAGCACUGUAAGUUGGGGGGAAGGGCAGUAAGUUAAUACCUUGCUGUUUUGACGGUACCAACAGAAUAAGCACCGGCUAACUUCGUG
rnacentral:rRNA from 1 species